rnacentral:rRNA from 1 species
UGACGAGCGGCGGACGGGUGAGUAAUGUCUGGGAAACUGCCUGAUGGAGGGGGAUAACUACUGGAAACGGUAGCUAAUACCGCAUGACGUCGCAAGACCAAAGUGGGGGACCUUCGGGCCUCACGCCAUCGGAUGUGCCCAGAUGGGAUUAGCUAGUAGGUGAGGUAAUGGCUCACCUAGGCGACGAUCCCUAGCUGGUCUGAGAGGAUGACCAGCCACACUGGAACUGAGACACGGUCCAGACUCCUACGGGAGGCAGCAGUGGGGAAUAUUGCACAAUGGGCGCAAGCCUGAUGCAGCCAUGCCGCGUGUGUGAAGAAGGCCUUAGGGUUGUAAAGCACUUUCAGCGAGGAGGAAGGCGUUGCAGUUAAUAGCUGCAACGAUUGACGUUACUCGCAGAAGAAGCACCGGCUAACUCCGUGCCAGCAGCCGCGGUAAUACGGAGGGUGCAAGCGUUAAUCGGAAUUACUGGGCGUAAAGCGCACGCAGGCGGUUUGUUAAGUCAGAUGUGAAAUCCCCGAGCUUAACUUGGGAACUGCAUUUGAAACUGGCAAGCUAGAGUCUUGUAGAGGGGGGUAGAAUUCCAGGUGUAGCGGUGAAAUGCGUAGAGAUCUGGAGGAAUACCGGUGGCGAAGGCGGCCCCCUGGACAAAGACUGACGCUCAGGUGCGAAAGCGUGGGGAGCAAACAGGAUUAGAUACCCUG